UACGGGGGGAGCAAGCGUUGUUCGGAUUUACUGGGCGUAAGGGGCGCGUAGGCGGCGCAACAAGUCACUUGUGAAAUCUCCGGGCUUAACCCGGAGCGGCCAAGUGAUACUGUCGUGCUAGAGUGCGGAAGGGGCUACUGGAAUUCUCGGUGUAGCGGUGAAAUGCGUAGAUAUCGAGAGGAACACCUGCGGCGAAGGCGGGUAGCUGGGCCGACACUGACGCUGAGGCGCGAAAGCCAGGGGAGCGAACGGG
rnacentral:rRNA from 1 species